rnacentral:rRNA from 1 species
CGAAUUCGCCCUUAGAGUUUGAUCCUGGCUCAGGACGAACGCUGGCUGCGUGCUUAACACAUGCAAGUCGAACGCUGAAGCCUGGUGCUUGCACCGGGUGGAUGAGUGGCGAACGGGUGAGUAACACGUGAGUAACCUGCCCCUGACUUCGGGAUAAGCCCGGGAAACUGGGUCUAAUACCGGAUACGACCGUCGGACGCAUGUCUGGUGGUGGAAAGUUUUUUCGGUUGGGGAUGGGCUCGCGGCCUAUCAGUUUGUUGGUGAGGUAAUGGCUCACCAAGACGACGACGGGUAGCCGGCCUGAGAGGGCGACCGGCCACACUGGGACUGAGACACGGCCCAGACUCCUACGGGAGGCAGCAGUGGGGAAUAUUGCACAAUGGGGGAAACCCUGAUGCAGCGACGCAGCGUGCGGGAUGACGGCCUUCGGGUUGUAAACCGCUUUCAGCAGGGAAGAAGCGCAAGUGACGGUACCUGCAGAAGAAGUACCGGCUAACUACGUGCCAGCAGCCGCGGUAAUACGUAGGGUACGAGCGUUGUCCGGAAUUAUUGGGCGUAAAGAGCUCGUAGGUGGUUGGUCACGUCUGCUGUGGAAACGCAACGCUUAACGUUGCGCGUGCAGUGGGUACGGGCUGACUAGAGUGCAGUAGGGGAGUCUGGAAUUCCUGGUGUAGCGGUGAAAUGCGCAGAUAUCAGGAGGAACACCGGUGGCGAAGGCGGGACUCUGGGCUGUAACUGACACUGAGGAGCGAAAGCAUGGGGAGCGAACAGGAUUAGAUACCCUGGUAGUCAAGGGCG